UAAAAUAAGUCUAAUGUUCCUCAAAUAAGCAUGGAUUAUGAGAGUGUGACGACACGUCAUCACAACCCCAUACUUAAACGUUUCCUUGUCCUCAAGGAAACAACUUUUACCUCAAACUUUUAUGUCAAGACCUUGGCAUUUUCCUUAGAUUACUCGAAUCAUACAUGCGUGAGACUUACCUGAUGAUCAAUGAUCCACUAGCAAACAACACUCAAUUGCACCACAGUUCCCUUAAGGCACUUUCAAGUAAUUCACACUUUUCAACCGAUGCACUAUGAUUUCAUCACAAUCCUCACAUACACUCUUCAAUCAUGGUAAUUUACUCAAAU
rnacentral:lncRNA from 1 species